UACGUAGGGUGCGAGCGUUAAUCGGAAUUACUGGGCGUAAAGCGUGCGCAGGCGGUUUGCUAAGACAGGUGUGAAAUCCCCGGGCUUAACCUGGGAACUGCGCUUGUAACUGGCAAGCUUGAGUGUGGCAGAGGGGGGUGGAAUUCCACGUGUAGCAGUGAAAUGCGUAGAGAUGUGGAGGAACACCGAUGGCGAAGGCAGCCCCCUGGGCUAACACUGACGCUCAGGCACGAAAGCGUGGGGAGCAAACAGG
rnacentral:rRNA from 1 species